CUGGCCACUCUGAGCAGCCAGCCCCCUCCUUCCCUAACCACUGUCAUGUCUCUGCAUGUUCAGGUUGGGAGCUCUCCAGCGCUCCCCUCACCCCUGAGAUCGCAAGAGCAC